GUUAAGAGAUUCCCUGCUCUGGUGUGCUUGUCUGUGUUCAGGGAAAAUUCCCCGAACAUAGACGAACGCACCAGAGCAGGGAAUCCCUCUAAU